rnacentral:tRNA from 1 species
GCCGGAGUGGCGGAAUUGGCAGACGCGCUGGACUCAAAAUCCAGUGUCCUCACGGACGUGUGGGUUCGAACCCCACCUCCGGUA